CGACCGUCCUGACUCCACAUGCAUGGGAACCACAGGAGUUAAAGCUUAACGGUCUGCUCAACACUCUCUCCCCCCAGCCUCCAUCCAGUUUCUUUCCCCAUUUUCUUCGCUUGACGCUUGCAGAUCCAAUCGCUGGGGGAGUGCGCGCGCGCAUGGGACGAGGCAAUAGGCAAUAGCGGAGCGAAAUCCAGGCGUUGGUCGGCGGCAGGAAGCGAGGCUCGACGGCGGCUUCGCAGGCGGCCCUCCGCGGCGGCGCCGUCGGAGAAGGCUUGUGGCCCCCGUGAGCUCCGCCCAACGAUGACGCGCUGCGGCUACCUACGCAAGGGAGCAGCGGCGCCCUAGCCACCGCCGGGAGGGCACGGUGGCGCGACGGGCGGCCCGGUAGAGGAGCGACGCAGCGAUGGCGGCUUUUUUCUUCUUUUCUUUUAAGAUUUUGCUUUCCAAACUUUUGUGUAUAACUUUUUUGCUAUUUAGUUCCUAAAUUUGCUCCACAACGUUGUGAUUCGAAUUUGUUUCUGAUUUUUGAUAAUUUUGUGCAUAAAUUAUGUCCAUAAUUUUUGGUCAAAAGUUUUGUCACAUAAUUUUGUUCAUAAGUUCUGCACACAAACUUUUUUGUGUGACAAUAAUUUCGUGCAUAUUUCCCGU
rnacentral:lncRNA from 1 species